rnacentral:snRNA from 1 species
GUGCUUGCUUCGGCAGCACAUAUACUAAAACUGGAACAAUACAGAGACGAUUAGUACAGCCCCUGUGCAAAGAUGACAUGCAAAUUUGUGAUGCGUUCCAUAUUUAA